CCAGAAUGUUUCAAUUACAUUGGUCCUGGUGUUUUUCAAUUUCUCUGUGACUUGCAGUCAUCUGCUUUGAGAAGGCUCAAACUGAAGAAGGAAUAGCACACCAGAGAUGGGGAGAAGGGUGCUUGUGUCCAAGGCUUGCCUGAAUUGCAGCAACAACCUAGAACUGUUAAAAGAAACACUAAAUAAAAAAGGACCAAGACAGCCUAGAACUGAGGUUCAAAGCUUUAAUUGAUAUAUCCUGGUAUUAAGACAUCUUAUUAUUUAAUGGAAAAAUUAGUACAGACAUAUUUAUAUUAAAUAAAUAUACUUUUACUUUUCAAAA